rnacentral:rRNA from 1 species
GACGAACGCUGGCGGCGUGCUUAACACAUGCAAGUCGAACGGAAAGGCCCUGCUUUUGUGGGGUGCUCGCGUGGCGAACGGGUGAGUAACACGUGAGUAUCCUGCCCUUGACUUUGGGAUAACUUCAGGCAACUGGGGCUACUACCGGAUAGGAGCUCCUGCUGCUUGGUGGGGGUUGGAAAGCUUGGGCGGUUGGGGAUGGACUCGCGGCUUGUCAGCUUGUUGGUGGGGUAGUGGCCUACCAAGGCGUUGACGGGUAGCCGGCCUGAGAGGGUGACCGGCCACAUUGGGACUGAGAUACGGCCCAGACUCCUACGGGAGGCAGCAGUGGGGAAUAUUGCACAAUGGGCGGAAGCCUGAUGCAGCAACGCCGCGUGCGGGAUGACGGCCUUCGGGUUGUAAACCGCUUUCGCCUGUGACGAAGCGUGAGUGACGGUAAUGGGUAAAGAAGCACCGGCUAACUACGUG